rnacentral:lncRNA from 1 species
AUGCACAGGAUUGUGGAUACCAGCCUACUAAUGCUUCUCAGGUCUUGCUGGAAGGAUGCCUUUCUUUUCGGAUUCCCAAACAAGAUCAAUUCUUGGCUGAGAUGUAACACUUUAACAAUUUGCUACAUUUAUGUAACAUGUCUAAAAAGCUCUACAUCAACUAGAUGAUAAGUAUUACUUUAGUACACUCCUGUAUUUAAAUUCAAAUAAUACAAAAUAUUCUUUUAUCGUACCUUCUGCAUUACUUUGUAUACCUACGGUCCCUCUGAUUGUAAAUAAAAAAAAUCGGAACCCUUCACUCCUGCCUCUUGCAGAAGUCAUUAACUACCUAUAAAUAAAAUAUUUUACUCCAACAAUGAGCUUUAGUAAAAAUAUUUACACUCUCAAACUGUAAUUCUGAGAGACUGCUUGAAAUGUUGCAAACAGGGGUGCAAAAUCUUCCACACAUUCACAUUUAAGAGGGUAGUCUACCCCCCCCCCCCCAAAGUUGUUAAGUUGUUAAGCUUUUGGUUUGAAACUUUGGCAUGAGGUGGGUAGUAACCUCAAACUAUGAUUCCCCCAUAAAAAAUUUGGGGGGGGGGGGCACUCCUUUCCCCUUAAAACCACAAAGGAUUGAAAAAAUAGGAUCAUUUUGUGACAAAAAUUUCCCAAGACUAGAUGAAUGAAUUUCAAUAUUCUUUGGCUCAUUAUGUGUCUAAGUAUGUUUAUUACAAAGUGUCCAAAGGAUUUUUUGGUUCAUGAAUGGAAGUAUGUUAUAAAGAAAGAUUUCUAAUUUUUUCAUAUUAUUUUUAAUCAUCUGAGCUUAUUCAUAAUUUUUGAAAAUGAAUAAAAGAAAGAAUAUUGACAUUUUUUUCUGACAUGUUGUAGCCUGAAUCAUGAGUUUUUCUUUACAAAAAAAGAAGUCUAUAGCUAUUGUAGAACCUGAGAUUUCUUCCUCAAGGCUCGUGAAAGCCUAAAAAAAGGUGAUGAUCUGAUCACUUUUUCCUGUUUUCCAGACAGAGUAUACUGUUGAAAUGCACACCAAAAAAAAAAAAAAAAAAAUUGAGAUGGUUUUGGUAAAACUACCCCCUUAACACUUGCCCUCCGGCUCUCGAUAAAAUUUCCCACCGAUCGCUAAAAGACAAUUUUUUUUUCUUAGAUAUGACCUUUGACUUUAAACUUUUAAGUUUAAAAUUUUUCCUCUUCCCGUCUGCACUUGCUCGGGCAUUUUCAACUCCUGGUUGCAAAGUCUCAACAAAUCUUCAUUUAAUUCAGCCAAAAUAAAAAAAUUCCACUAUCAAAAGUGCUAUCAGAAGUAAUUUGAACAUUAAUAUCUGUACAUGUAUCAAAGCUAUUUAAAGAUGAGUUCACAACAUUAAAACCUGAAACUGAAGGCCUCAAACGCCUUUGUAAUAAUAAUAUGCGAGUAAAUUACCUAUCCUAUUAUUAGGGGAAUUUGUCAGGGGGGCCUCUUUUAACUACAGUGCGAAUUCUUAAAAAUAUCCAGAUUUUUUCUAGUUUCAUUCAGCUCAAAUGCAUACUCUCACCUGAAUAAGAUGCAAAAUCCUCAAUCAUUAGAUUUUUCAAAAGCUUUCAAGAUUUUGCACAUUGCUUGGGUAUCUGCUGAAAAAUUUUCCGUUCCUUUUUUCUACUAAGUAAACUAGGAAAAUAUGGAAAGCAAGUUUUCUUGAACGAUUUUUUUACAGCUUUUUGGUUACUUUUUGGAGGGAAAGUUUCCAGUUGUAGAAAAACGAACGGCAACCACAGAUUUAUGAAAGAUGGUCUCAAGGCUGUCCAUUGGGAUCAGUGAGCCUAACAGAUUAAGUUAGUGAAGAACCUUCGCGACAAUCAUAGGAAGGGCCCUGUAGAUGUUAGUAAAUGCCUCCAUCCUUCUGCUCCACCAUCGGAAG